CGUGGGUAACCUACCCUUAAGUGGGGGAUAACAUUUGGAAACAGAUGCUAAUACCGCAUAACCAUUCAGACCACAUGGUCUGAAUGUAAAAGACGGCCUUUGGCUGUCACUUUUGGACGGACCCGCGGCGUAUUAGUUAGUUGGUAAGGUAACGGCUUACCAAGACAAUGAUACGUAGCCGACCUGUAGAGGGUAAUCGGCCACAUUGGGA
rnacentral:rRNA from 1 species